rnacentral:sRNA from 1 species
UGGACAGUGAGGUCAGGAGAGCAUUUGGCCACUUUCAUCAGGGCCGUGGACCGGUCAGUGUGAUGGUUAGGGUAAUGGCUGUGGAUUAGAGGGUCAUGUGGGCCAGGGACAUCGUGGAGGGAGGAACCUCUGUGAGGUCAGUGUGGGGGCAAGGGUAGCGUGGAGCUAGGCAUUUCUCCCACAAUGACCCUCUUCUGCCCCAUGUGAAGCGCUUGUCCUGGCAUCACCCUGGGGGCAGUGAUCUUCUCCGCUGUGGAGGCUUCUAUACAGCCAGUGACCCUAACAAGGAGGAUAUCAGAGCAGUGGAGUUGAUGCUCCAGGCUGGGCAUUCAGAUGUUGUCCUGGUAGACACUAUGGAUGAGCUGCCCAGCCUUGCAGAUGUCCAACUUGCCCACCUGAGGCUGAGGGCCCUCUGCCUGCCCGAUUCAUCUGUAGCUGAGGAUAAAUGGCUUUCAGCCCUGGAAGGAACACGAUGGCUGGACUAUGUCAGGGCUUGUCUUCGAAAGGCCAGUGACAUUUCAGUAUUAGUGACAUCCAGGGUUCGUUCUGUAAUACUUCAAGAGCGCGGUGAUCGUGAUCUCAAUGGCCUCCUCUCUUCACUCGUCCAGCUGCUUUCAGCC